AUGGACCUCUCACCAGCCAGCACGGGUGCCUAUGGCGGAAAGGCGGCGGACGCGUACCGGAAGGCGCUCAGCUCAGCGGCCUCGGCCGCCGCGUACGCCGUGCUGGCGCGGAGCAUGGCGCGUGAGCUCCUCCCGGACGAGCUGCGCGCCGCAGUGCGCUGGGCCACGUCCGUGCUCCGCGCGCGCCUCGGAUGGGGCGCCAAGGAGCGGCGAACGCUCGUCAUUCGCAGCCACACCGGCGGCGGCGGUCGCGAGGAGAAUCUUCUCUUCGACGCGGCGCGGACCUACCUGUCCUCCAGGCUCGACCCGCGCGCCAUGCACCGUCUCGAGCUCACGCUGUCCGCGACCAGGGACGAUGGCGGCCUCAAAAGCUGGACGAAGCGCCUGUUCAUUGAGCCCGGGGACUCCACCGUCGAUGUCUUCGACGGCGUCGAGUUCAUCUGGUCGUCCGUCCACAACCACAAGACAAACGGCGGCGAAGGAGGAAACAAGAAGUCCAAGAACGGGGAGUCCGCCACCGCCGAGUUUCUGCUCAAGCUCAGCUUCGACGCCAAGCACACAGACAUGGCCAUGGAGAGGUACGUGCCCUUCGUCAUGGGGACGGCCGAGGAGACGAGGCUGCGGGAGCGUUCGCUCAUGAUCUGCAUGAAUGAGGGCCGAACAUGGUUCAGGCUGCACCACCAUCACCUCGCCACGUUCGACACGCUCGCCAUGGACCCGGCGCUGAAGCAGUCCAUCGUCGCCGACCUCGACCUGUUCGCCAGCAGAAGGGACCACUACCGGCGGAUUGGCAAGGCGUGGAAGCGCGGGUACCUUCUCUACGGCCCGCCCGGCACCGGCUAG
rnacentral:rRNA from 1 species